rnacentral:rRNA from 1 species
CUAUGGGCGGCAGCAGUGAGGAAUAUUGCACAAUGGGGGGAACCCUGAUGCAGCAACGCCGCGUGGAGGAUGACGCAUUUCGGUGUGUAAACUCCUUUUAUAUGUCAAGAAAAUGACGGUAGCAUAUGAAUAAGCACCGGCUAACUCCGUGCCAGCAGCGCGGUAAUACGGAGGGUGCAAGCGUUACUCGGAAUCACUGGGCGUAAAGGACGCGUAGGCGGGUUGGAAAGUCAGGUGUGAAAUCCUACAGCUUAACUGUAGAACUGCACUUGAAACUUCUAAUCUAGAGUAUGGGAGGGGGAGAUGGAAUUAGUGGUGUAGGGGUAAAAUCCGUAGAUAUCACUAGGAAUACCUAAAGCGAAGGCGAUCUCCUGGAACAUUACUGACGCUAAGGCGUGAAAGCGUGGGGAGCAAACAGGAUUAGAUACCCUUGUAGUC